rnacentral:lncRNA from 10 species
GGGAGAUGGUCCACUGUCCUCACGAGUUGCUACAGAUGCCUCUUUCACUGUUCAGUCAGCGUUCCUGGGUAACUCAGUGCUUGGACACUUGGAAAACAUGCACCCUGAUAACUCAAAGGCACCUGGCUUCAGACCACCUUCCCAGCGAGUUUCUACUAGUCCAGUUGGGUUACCAUCCAUUGACCCAUCAGGCAGCUCCCCAUCUUCCUCUUCUGCUCCUCUGGCAAGUUUUUCCGGCAUACCAGGAACAAGGGUUUUCCUGCAAGGGCCAGCUCCUGUUGGGACUCCUAGUUUCAACAGACAACAUUUUUCUCCCCAUCCUUGGACAAGCGCCUCAAACUCAUGUAGGAAUCCUGGAGGAACUCUUCCCAAAGAGUUUUGAAUAAGUUAUUAAAUCAUUUAUUUCAGUUACAACACCAUGUUGUAACUUUAGUAAACUAAGUGGUAUACAGAUGCCCAAGGUUUGUUCUGUGGUCAUGUGAAAAAAUUGUCAGUCAUUUUUAGCAUAGAAAACUUGAGAAUUAUUCUUUCAAGCCAAAAAUGUUUUACAGUAGAACUUGGAUCAAGAAAAGAGGUACUAGGCUGGGUGCAGUGGCUGACACCUGUAAUCCCAGCACUUUGGGAGGCCUAGGCAAGAGGAUCGCUUGAGCCCAGCAGUUGGAGACCAGCCUGGGCAACAGCAAGACCCUGUCUCUAUUAAAAAAAAAAAA